rnacentral:rRNA from 1 species
UACGUAGGGUGCGAGCGUUAAUCGGAAUUACUGGGCGUAAAGCGUGCGCAAGCGGUCUGUUAAGACAGAUGUGAAAUCCCCGGGCUUAACCUGGGAACUGCAUUUGUGACUGGCAGGCUAGAGUAUGGCAGAGGGGGGUAGAAUUCCACGUGUAGCAGUGAAAUGCGUAGAGAUGUGGAGGAAUACCGAUGGCGAAGGCAGCCCCCUGGGCCAAUACUGACGCUCAUGCACGAAAGCGUGGGGAGCAAACAGG